rnacentral:rRNA from 1 species
UACAGAGGGUGCAAGCGUUGCUCGGAAUUACUGGGCGUAAAGCGUGCGUAGACGGUUAUGUAAGUUAGGUGUGAAAGCCCCGGGCUCAACCUGGGAAUUGCAUUUAAGACUGCAUAGCUAGGGUGCGGAAGAGGGAAGCGGAAUUUCCGGUGUAGCGGUGAAAUGCGUAGAUAUCGGAAGGAACAUCAGUGGCGAAAGCGGCUUCCUGGUCCAGCACCGACGUUCAGGCACGAAAGCGUGGGGAGCAAACAGG